rnacentral:snRNA from 1 species
UCGCUUCAGCAGCUCAUACACUAAACUGGGAUACAGAGAAGAUCAGCAUGGCCCCUGCCAGGGAGGACCCAAAGGAAGUUGUUUUAACACUGUUA